rnacentral:lncRNA from 1 species
GACUCCUAAUCCCUCUCUGAUCAAGUUUUAAGCUAUGUUUAACUCUAUAAAAGGCACUGUGACGAACAGGAGAGGAGUGUGGUCAUUUUCUCACCGCCGUACGAACCAGAGGAGAGAAAGAGAGGCUAGGGCGCUGAGAGAGAAAGAGCAGGAGGCUCCUGGACAGCGGUCGCCAGGCUCUUCAGGGGUUCAGGGGGGUCUCCAAG